rnacentral:lncRNA from 1 species
AUAUGUAAAGAAAAAUUAUGCCUAAAAUUUUCAUAUUUGUUUAUAUUAUUACGAUCGUCUUUAUUUCCUUAUUUCUUGUUGUAAUUUACGUCAAUGCCGGUAAGCCAUUUUCUUCACCCUUAUCAAAUUUUAUUCUAGACCAUGUCGCAUAAAAAUAAUUUCCACUUAAUUAUUUUACGCAGGAUUCGCUUUGGAGUGUACUAUAGAUUAUGAUUGUCUUGAUACUGAAAAUUUCUUAUGUCACUUUCCUCGUUUGAUUCCAAAGUGUGUUGGUGAGCGGUGUAUCUGUGGCAUGAGUAACGGUUACUAUUAAGUUCAAACAUAAUUAUAUAAUAAUUCUUUUCUUUUCUU